CCUACGGGUGGCAGCAGUGAGGAAUAUUGGUCAAUGGACGAGAGUCUGAACCAGCCAAGUAGCGUGAAGGAUGACUGUCCUAUGGGUUGUAAACCUCUUUUAUCUGGGAAUAAAAUGUUCCACGUGUGGGUUUUUGUAUGUACCAUAUGAAUAAGCAUCGGCUAACUCCGUGCCAGCAGCCGCGGUAAUACGGAGGAUGCGAGCGUUAUCCGGAUUUAUUGGGUUUAAAGGGAGCGUAGGUGGUUUGUUAAGUCAGUUGUGAAAGUUUGCGGCUCAACCGGAGAACUGCAGUUGAGACUGGCAGUCUAGAGUACAGUAGAGGUAGGCGGAAUGCGUGGUGUAGCGGUGAAAUGCUUAGAGAUCACGAAGAACACCGAUUGCGAAGGCAGCUCACUGAACUACGACUGUCACUGAGGCUCGAAAGUGUGGGGAUCAAACAGGAUUAGAUACCCGGGUAGUC
rnacentral:rRNA from 1 species